AUUGAACGCUGGCGGCAUGCUUUACACAUGCAAGUCGAACGGUAACAGGGUGCUUGCACCGCUGACGAGUGGCGAACGGGUGAGUAAUGCGUCGGAACGUGCCGAGUAGUGGGGGAUAACGCAGCGAAAGUUGUGCUAAUACCGCAUACGUACUGAGGUAGAAAGUGGGGGACCUUCGGGCCUUCCGCUAUUCGAGCGGCCGACGUCUGAUUAGCUAGUAGGUGAGGUAAAGGCUCACCUAGGCGACGAUCAGUAGCGGGUCUGAGAGGAUGAUCCGCCGCACUGGGACUGAGACACGGCCCAGACUCCUACGGGAGGCAGCAGUGGGGAAUUUUGGACAAUGGGCGAAAGCCUGAUCCAGCCAUGCCGCGUGUCUGAAGAAGGCCUUCGGGUUGUAAAGGACUUUUGUCGGGGAGGAAAUCCCCAGCGUUAAUACCGCUGGGGGAUGACAGUACCUGAAGAAUAAGCACCGGCUAACUACGUGCCAGCCGCCGCAGUAA
rnacentral:rRNA from 1 species